rnacentral:rRNA from 1 species
GGCUUAUUGAUUAAUAAUUUUAAGUCUGGCCUGCCCCCUGAUUAUUUAAAGGGCCGCGGUAUUUUGACCGUGCUAAGGUAGCAUAAUCAUUAGGUUUUUAAUUGAAAUCUGGAAUGAAUGGUUGAAUGAGAAAAUAACUGUCUCUAUAUUAAAUUAAAUGAAUUUUAUUUUUAAGUUAAAAAGCUUAAAUUUUAUUAAUAGACGAGAAGACCCUAUAGAGUUUUAUAAAUUUUUGUAUUAAAAGUUUUAGAAUUUUUAUUAUAAUAUUAAUUUUUAUUUGGUUGGGGUGAUUUUAAAAUAAAAUAAACUUUUAUUUAAUUUAAACAUUGAUAAGUGAAUGAUAUGAUCCMUUAAUUAUGAUUAAAAGAUUAAAUUACCUUAGGGAUAACAGCGUAAUUUUUUUUGAGAGUUCUAAUCGAAAAAAAAGAUUGCGACCUCGAUGUUGGAUUAAAGUAAAUUUUUGGUGUAGAAGUUAAAAGUUUAGGUCUGUUCGACCUUUAAAACUUUACAUGA